AGAGAGAGACAUGCGCGCAUAUCAAUAAGCGGAGGAAAAGAAACUAACAAGGAUUCCCCUAGUAACGGCGAGUGAAGCGGGAAGAGCUCAAAUUUGAAAUCUUAAAGGGUUUCCCUUUACGAAUUGUAGUUUAAAGAAGUGUUUUCUGUUGAGGUUUUGGUAAAAGUUCUUUGGAAUAGGACAUCAUAGAGGGUGAGAAUCCCGUAUUUGACCUUUACUUUCAACUUUGUGAUACACUUUCAAAGAGUCGGAUUGUUUGGGAAUGCAGUCCAAAAUGGGUGGUAAAUUUCAUCUAAAGCUAAAUAUUGGCGAGAGACCGAUAGCGAACAAGUACCGUGAGGGAAAGAUGAAAAGAACUUUGAAAAGAGAGUUAAACAGUACGUGAAAUUGUCAAAAGGGAAGCGUUUGACACCAGUGUUGUUUUUCUGAAAAUCAAUUAAAGAACUGUUUAUGCUAAGCUGUUUAGACUUUAUCAGCUAACUGUUUAGUUUUGAGCUUUUCUUUAAUGCACUUUUCAGUUAACAAGUCAACAUCAAUUUCUUUUGCUGUAAAAAAGCUUGAGGUAGGUGGCUUGAGAUUCGUCUUAAGUGUUUAUAGCCUCUUGCCUAUGCAGUCGGAGAGAUUGAGGUCUGCAGCGUAGAUCCUUCGGGGCUAAAUGCAUUUGUGCUAAGUUAUAGCAUUUUAUAGGCAACUUGUUGACUAUGAUUUGUCUUGUAGCUUACUCGCUUAUGUUAUUUUACCUACGCUUAGGAUGUUGAGCGCAUGUCUCUCUCU
rnacentral:rRNA from 1 species